rnacentral:rRNA from 1 species
GACGAACGCUGGCGGCGUGCUUAACACAUGCAAGUCGAACGGAAAGGCCCUGCUUUCGUGGGGUGCUCGAGUGGCGAACGGGUGAGUAACACGUGAGUAACCUGCCCUUGACUUUGGGAUAACUUCAGGAAACUGGGGCUAAUACCGGAUAGGAGCUCCUGCUGCAUGGUGGGCGUUGGAACGUUUCGGCGGUUGGGGAUGGACGCGCGGCUUAUCAGCUUGUUGGUGGGGUAGUGGCUUACCAAGCCAUUGACGGGUAGCCGGCCUGAGAGGGUGACCGGCGACAUUGGGACUGAGAGACGGCCCAGACUCGUACGGGAGGCAGCAGUGGGGAAUAUUGUACAGUGGGCGGAAGCCUGAUGAGGCAACGCCGCGGGCGGGAUGACGGCCUUCGGGUUGUAAACCGCUUUCGCCUGUGACGAAGCGUGAGUGACGGUAAUGGGUGAAGAAGCACCGGCUAACUACGUG